GGCGGCGUAGCUCAGCUGGCUAGAGCGUACGGUUCAUACCCGUAAGGUCGGGGGUUCGAUUCCCUCCGCCGCUAC
rnacentral:tRNA from 4 species